CAACUAGAGGCUUCCGGAAUUCUGGCGUUCCUUCGCGCUCCUACACGCAUGGAGAAUAUUAGGAAGAGCGGAAACUGGAAACUUCAAGACCUCUCCUCCUCCUCACUUAUAAAUACUCCAGUAUCCGAUCCCGAACACAUCAUCGAGAAGCCAUUCAAACGUCUCCAAGUGAAGAGAUCCUUAGCCAAAUUUAUUGUCGCCAACCGGUAGAGUUUCAUUUAGAAGAAUGUCGGUUGUCAGGCGGAGCAACAUCUUUGACCCCUUCUCCCUCGACGUCUGGGAUCCUUUCCACAGCUUCCCUUUCGACACCUUCCGCGCCCUCGCGGAGUCCCGCCCCAGCUUCGUCAGCGAGACCUCCGCCUUUGCCAACACCCGCAUCGACUGGAAGGAGACCCCGGAGGCCCACAUCUUCAAAGCCGACCUCCCCGGGGUUAAGAAAGAGGAGACUUCAACCGCAUUGAUGGUUCGGAUGAGAAGAGAGGGGGGGAAGCCCUACACUAACAAGAUUGAAGUUAGGAAGUUCAGGAGUUCCUCAUGACUAAUGGGCUAGUCGACCCUAGGUUCAUUGGCUCGCAUUUCACUUGUUGCAACAAUAGGUUUUGAAGGGCUUGUGUCUGGGAGAGGAUAGACAGAGCAUUCCCAGCUGGGUCCAGCGGUUCUCCGACUUCCGGGUGUGACAUCUUGGAUAGCCUCAGACCACUGUUCGAUUCUGAGCGGAUCCGCGGAAGACGAUGGAGGGCGCCUCGGAGGAGCUCGAGUGUUGAAGCCGCUACCUCAGCUCCCGACGAGAGAGGAGCGGAAGAUAAUGGAGGGUGCCUCGGAGGAGCUCGAGCACCGAAGCCGCUACCUCAGCUCCCUCAUCCAGCGCACCAAGCUCAAGCCCGACGGCGAGCCGGAGAAGAGUCGCCAGCAGCCGGCGAAGCCCGACAAGGAGAAGCAUCGCCCCACCGUCAGCGGCGGGAGAAGGAGGAAAGGGUUGGGGUUGUCGAUGGCGGCGAGGAUGAUGCGCAGGAGCAGUGGCAGAACGUGCGGGUGAGGGCUCGCGCUAGCCCUCAAGAAGGCACGCUAUCUCCCCCUCCUCUAUUUCUCAGAUUCGUUUUUUCCGCAGGAAUUUGCUAGCCAGCUUUUACCUCUGCUUCCCAAACCCUAAUCCUCUGUGGGGACGGAGAGUGUUACAUAAGGUUUUUUUUCGUGGGGACUCUGAUUCUUUAUUUUUUGGUUACUAAUUAUGUUCGGAUUAGCAGCUGAGGAUGGAAUUGGUUACUAAUCAAGUGGCUCGGAGGUAGCUGGAGAAGGAGAUCGUGAGAGAGGAGAGGGAGUUGGGUCCUCUCCAGAGAAAGAAGGGGAGCCAGAGAGCUGAGAGAGAGAGGCUUUUCAUUUCUGAGAGAGACUCUCCUCUCUCGGCAGGAGCCGCAGGACAUCUCCCAUCGGGGCUGGGGCGCGACUCGCGAGGGCGAACCGGCGAAGAACGCUUCUCGCGCCGGCAGGUGGAAGUAGCUGUUCUUGGCCUCUUGGGCGAAGCCCCCGCCGGCUCCUCUUCCCGUAGGCCCCCGCCGGCGACUUCUUCUCCCAGUCCAUUGCCGAGAGAUAGGGGUGAAUUUGCGCCACGUGGGCACGAGGAGGGCAUCAUGAUGGGGGAUUUGCUUUUGGGAAAGAAAGAUGCUAAAAGGAGCAGUGGAGGUCAGGUCGCGGAUGUUGGGUGCGUUGGGAUCGCUAGAAAACACAGAUGUUAAGGCCAGUGUCUCACGUAAUUUGUUAAGGAAGGAUCAGGCCAUCUCAGGAUUUCAGGAGAUGAUGAUGAUGGGAAUGGUGGCAUCUUCUGGAAAGUGGCCUUUGGUUCAAGUUCAGCUCAAUCCACCCUUCUAAUAGGUCAGCACUUUUCUGUCUUGUUAGUUGUUUCUAUCAGUGGGCCAAUCUCUGUAGUUAGAGGUGGAAAUCAAAUCAUAAUAAAUUGACUUGUUCCAUGAAGAAAUUUUUAUAUGCAAUGUGUUACAUAUCCGAGCUUCUUAUCAAAUGCUUACAAGUAUUAUUUUUUUUUU